GUUGGGACCCAGAUCUUUCCAGUUAAUCACACAACAAACUUAGAUCAUCGCAAUAAAAAGCAGCUCGGCUCACUCUGCCUCCUCGAGUGACCGGCUGUGCACAGGGUCCUUCCGAGGAGCCAUCUCCUCUCCUCCCCGCCAGCCCGCCGGAGGGGGGGCCGCCGGCACCAUGUGGGCCACCCAACUCCUGCCAGCCUUGCUGCUCCAUCAGCUGCUGCUGCUUCCCAUCACCAUCCCUGCGGCAGAUGGUAAAGGAAAAAGGAGAAAUCCUCUUCAUGACUACAAAAAAACAGGAGAGUUGAUGCUCAUCAAAGUAAACAAAACACUGGAAGUUAAAACCAAGCUGUUAAAUACCACUGAGCAGUGUGCCAAGAGAUGCAGCAGGAACAAAGGUCUUUCAUUCACUUGCAAGGCUUUUGCUUAUGACAGAGUUACAAAACGGUGCCAUUGGUUAUCCUUCAACAGCUUGACAAAUGGUGUGAGAAAGAAGCAAGACCAUGCGUUUGAUCUGUUUGAAAAGAAGGACUAUGUCAGGAAUUGUAUAAUCGGAAAAGGAGCAGACUACAAAGGGACAAUGUCUGUCACCAAAAGUGGUAUUCAGUGUCAGGCCUGGAACUCAAUGAUUCCCCAUGAGCACAGCUUUUUGCCUUCGAGCUAUCGGGGUAAGGACCUGCGGGAAAACUACUGCCGAAACCCCCGAGGGGAAGAGGGAGGGCCAUGGUGUUUCACCACCAGCCCAGAGACACGCCACGAAGUCUGUGACAUCCCCCUCUGCUCAGAAGUUGAAUGCAUGACCUGCAAUGGAGAGAGUUACAGAGGGCCAAUGGAUCAUACUGAGUCAGGCAAGGAGUGUCAGCGCUGGGAUCUUCAGAGACCACACAAACACAAAUUUCGUCCUGAGAGAUAUCCUGACAAGGGCUUUGAUGAUAAUUACUGCCGCAAUCCUGAUGGCAAGCUGAGACCAUGGUGCUACACUCUUGACCCUAACACCCCCUGGGAGUUCUGUGCAAUUAAAACGUGUGAUGCAGGUAUCGUGAACAGCACGGAGUCAGUGGCUGAGACAACAAUGUGCAUCCAGGGGCAGGGUGAGGGCUACCGCGGCACAGUCAACACCAUAUGGAGUGGGAUCCAGUGCCAGAGGUGGGACUCUCAGUUUCCUCACCAGCACAACAUCACUCCUGAGAACUUCAAGUGCAAGGAUUUGAGGGAGAACUACUGCCGAAAUCCAGAUGGAUCUGAAUCACCCUGGUGUUUUACUACUGACCCAAACAUCCGGAUUGGUUAUUGCUCCCAGAUUCCUAAGUGUGAUGUAUCAAAUGAACAAGAUUGUUAUCGUGGCAAUGGCAAAAGUUACAUGGGAAAUCUAUCCAAGACAAGAUUUGGGCUAACUUGCUCCACAUGGGACAAGAAUAUUGAAGACUUACGUAGGCAUAUACAAAUAUUCAGAGAACCAGAUGUUAGUAAACUGAAGAAAAACUAUUGCCGCAAUCCAGAUGAUGAUUUUCAUGGUCCCUGGUGUUACACAGAUGAUCCUCUCGUUCCCUGGGAUUACUGCCCUAUUUCUCGAUGUGAAGGUGAUACAACUCCUACUACAAUCAGUGUGGAUGAUACUGUCAUUCCUUGUGCCUCAACAAAACAUUUGAGAGUUGUAAAUGGAAUCCCAACUCAAACUAACGAAGGAUGGGUGGUUAGUUUGACAUACAGGAAUAAGCAUAUCUGUGGAGGUACUUUGAUAAAGGAAGAGUGGGUUCUAACAGCAAGACAGUGUUUCCCUUCUCGGUACAAAGAUUUGAAAGACUACAAAGCCUGGCUUGGAGUCCAUAAUAUCAAAGGAAAGGGAGAGGAGAAGCACAGACAAGUUCUGAAUAUCUCUCAGCUGGUAUAUGGUCCUGCGGGGUCAGAUUUGGUCUUGCUGAAACUUAGCAGACCUGCCAUAUUGACAACUUUUGUAGAAAUAAUCCGAUUGCCCAUUUCUGGAUGUACCAUUCCAGAGAAGACCAGUUGCAGUGUUUAUGGAUGGGGAUACACUGGAUUAGUUAACUAUGAUGGCCUUCUCCGAGUAGCAAACCUGUUUAUUUUGGGGAAUGAGAAAUGCAACCAAUAUCUCAAAGGGAAGAUCACUGUGAAUGAGUCAGAAAUCUGUGCGGUGGCUGAAACCAUUGGUGCUGGGCCUUGUGAGCGUGAUUAUGGUGGUCCCUUGGUUUGUGAACAAAACAGACUGAAAAUAGUGGUGGGUGUCAUUGUUCCUGGCCGUGGAUGUGCCAUUCGAAAUCGUCCUGGGAUUUUUGUUCGGGUCUCAUAUUAUUCUCGGUGGAUACACAAGAUCAUGAUGACCUACAGAAAACCCUGAAAAACUCAAGAACUUCCAUUCACAGAUUUUGGACAGCAUAGAAUUAACGUGUAAUCUGUGCACUGAACUAUAUGCAUCCUUGUACACCAAAAAGCACACCAGUUCUGGACUUCACAGCAACUGAAACAGCAGGCGAGGCUUUAUUGCUAUCCUUCUGGAAGGCUGGUUGUAAACCAGUUCACCCCCAUGGAGCCUGUAUGAAACCAGUAGGAUUGGUUAUUUAGUCUUCUUUCCUUAUUGAUUAUUUUCUUCCUCCUUUAUGUGCACUGGUAUAUUAUUGUUUUAUGAAUGUUGGGGCUGCUGGCAGGAACUGACAUGGCUUUUCAUCCUAAUAUUUUAUGGUGUUCCUUUUUAGAUAUACUCUUGGGCAUUUAUGUAUGGUGUUUCCUUGUGUGGGAUCUAACUUCAUGGAGCUGCCUGUUGAAUUCAGUGUAUGAUAAGAGUAUUUUUUUUCAUAUUUAAGUGGGAAAAUUAAUGCUCCCAUUAAAGACAACUAGUUGAAAGCCUAAUGAAAAGGGAACACUGUGGUUAUAACUUGUAUUGCAAAUCUUCUGUAAUUAAUGGCAUCUUCAUUAGUUAAUAAAGUUGGUAUUUUUGUAUCCUU